rnacentral:lncRNA from 1 species
AAUAACAUGACUUUAAAGAAGAUAUGGGAAACUUCAACUCCCAGAAAAAUGAAGUAGAUACAUACUUCUCUAUUCCUUCCACUAAGUACAACUGAAAACCGUGACACUAUAUAUAAAACAAACAUAAGAAGACUCUGAAAGGCAAGAAUGGGUUUUCUUUUGCCUCCUUUAUUCCAGACUUGUAACUGAAGAAGCCAUCAACCAAGAAAUUUCCAACAGACCCAGAUGGAAAAAGUCCCAGUGAAAGCCUGUUCUUUAGCCAAAGGGGCCAGAAAAGAGCAAGAUAGCAGGACAAGUGUCAUUGAGGAGAAUUUGCCUAGGAGAUGCAAAGAGAGAGAAGCCUAUACUUUGAGGGUGGAAGCCCCUCCAACAGGCAACAUGACUGCAGCACAAUCAACUAUGGCUUUGCUGAUCUCGUGUAUCAUCAUCCUCAUCAUCCUCAUCCCCGCAAUUGCAGCAAACGUCCAGUUGUGCACUUACUGCUGAUGAUGAAUAAAUGUAUAGAACAGGAAAAA